rnacentral:rRNA from 1 species
AGAGUUUGAUCAUGGCUCAGAGUGAACGCUGGCGGCAGGCCUAAUACAUGCAAGUCGAACGGCAGCACAGCAGAGCUUGCUCUGUGGGUGGCGAGUGGCGGACGGGUGAGGAAUACAUGGGAAUCUGCCCAGUCGUGGGGGAUAACGUAGGGAAACUUACGCUAAUACCGCAUGCGCCCUUCGGGGGAAAGCCGGGGACCUUCGGGCCUGGCGCGAUUGGAUGAGCCCAUGUCGGAUUAGCUAGUUGGCGGGGUAAUGGCCCACCAAGGCGACGAUCCGUAGCUGGUCUGAGAGGAUGAUCAGCCACACUGGAACUGAGACACGGUCCAGACUCCUACGGGAGGCAGCAGUAGGGAAUAUUGGACAAUGGGCGCAAGCCUGAUCCAGCCAUGCCGCGUGAGUGAAGAAGGCCCUCGGGUUGUAAAGCUCUUUUGUCCGGAAAGAAAAGCGCCGGGUUAAUACCCUGGUGUCCUGACGGUACCGGAAGAAUAAGCACCGGCUAACUUCGUG